rnacentral:rRNA from 1 species
AUUGAACGCUGGCGGCAGGCCUAACACAUGCAAGUCGAACGAGUGGCGGACGGGUGAGUAAUGUCUGGGAAACUGCCCGAUGGAGGGGGAUAACUUCUGGAAACGGUAGCUAAUACCGCAUACCAUCAGAUGUGCCCAGAUGGGAUUAGCUAGUUGGUGGGGUAAAGGCUCACCGAGGCGACGAUCCCUAGCUGGUCUGAGAGGGUGACAAGCCACACUGGAACUGAGACACGGUCCAGACUCCGACGGGAGGCAGCAGUGGGGAAUAUUGCACAAUGGGCGCAAGCCUGAUGCAGCCAUGCCGCGUGUGUGAAGAAGGCCUUCGGGUUGUAAAGCACUUUCAGCGGGGAGGCGUUACCCGCAGAAGAAGCACCGGCUAACUCCGUGCCAGCAGCCGCGGUAAUAC